GAGGAAAAUCAACAGACUCUUUUUCACUGGGGGAGAACAGAGUAAGGGACUGGUGGUAGCUGGGGAGAGGACUUGGAGUAAAUGGCUGGAAAUCAAAGUGCUCUGGCCCCCUACUCCAGGGCAAGGAAGAUUCUUAGGGGAGGCAGCAGUUUCCUGAGGAGGUGGUGGGGUAGACUUCUGAUCGCAGGAACCCAACAACUCCCAAGCCAUCUUAGGUUCCACCCAGAAGCAGCAUGGAGUGGGAGCAAGGGGGCAAUAAUGGGGCCUUGGCGCUCAUGGGAACACUGAAUUAAAAGGCAGGCGGCUUCCCUGGGGACCCA
rnacentral:lncRNA from 1 species